CUCUUGGAAGUUGAGCAGAGAGCGACGUGGUUGUGGUAGCUGCUGCUGUGGCCACCGCGGGAUAAUAAGCCAGGAUCUGCUAUACCCAUUGACUAACUAUGGAAGAUUAUACCAAAAUAGAGAAAACUGGAGAAGGUACCUAUGGAGUUGUGUAUAAGGGUAGACACAAAACUACAGGUCAAGUGGUAGCCAUGAAAAAAAUCAGACUAGAAAGUGAAGAGGAAGGGGUUCCUAGUACUGCAAUUCGGGAAAUUUCUCUAUUAAAAGAACUUCGUCAUCCAAAUAUAGUCAGUCGUCAGGAUAUGCUUAUGCAGGAUUCCAGGUUAUAUCUCAUCUUCAGUUGACAUUUGGAGGAUACGCACCAUAUUUGCUGAACUAGCAACUAAAAAACCACUUUUCCAUGGGGAUUCAGAAAUUGAUCAACUCUUCAGGAUUUUCAGAGCUUUGGGCACUCCCAACAAUGAAGUGUGGCCAAAAGUGGAAUCUUUACAGGAAACUAUAAGAAUACAUUUCCCAAAUGGAAACCAGGAAGCCUAGCAUCCCAUGUCAAAAACUUGGAUGCAAAUGGCUUGGAUUUGCUCUCGAAAAUGUUAAUCUAUGAUCCAGCCAAACGAAUUUCUGGCAAAAUGGCACUGAAUCAUCCAUAUUUUAAUGACGUGGACAAUCAGAUUAAGAAGAUGUAGCUUUCUGACAAAAAGUUUCCACAUGUUAUAACAACAGAUAGUUGUGUUUUUAUUGUUAACUCUUGUCUAUUUUUGUCUUAUAUAUAUUUCUUUGUUAU